rnacentral:lncRNA from 1 species
CUCAACAUACUUUCCAGGGAUUUCUUUCUCUUUUCUUUUUAUUGAGUCACACCAAUAACUUUUACUUAGUGGAAGAAGGGUUGGUGAAGAUGUGUGGGUGGCUCUUUAAAUAUCUCUCCUUACAUUUUCAAGAAUAAUUUUAUUCUAUUAAAAUACCUUUUAUUCUUUCUAUUCCCCUAAAAGGCCAACAGAACAGAUCAUACUCUGAAAAGCAGGUGGGGUAUGAUUGCAAGCUGUCUUGGGGAGCAGCUGAAUCAACCACCCACCUGAGUCACUCAGCAUCUGCAGACCCUCUUACAGGUACCGUUCCUGGGUCUGGUGAAUUGGGGCUCAAAAAACACAGCAGCGUCGGUAGUUGUGGUGUGGAAGCCAAGGGUUAUUUGAGCAUUUUUUCAGACAGGGGGGGCAGGUACGCUUCUCCACGCUCUUCCUUCCUAGAGCUCCUUUUUCCCUCCACUUUCUUGCAAGACCUCACUUCCAGAAACCGGCAUUCUCUCUCAUUUCUCUCCUUUCUGCUCUCAGGUCCCAAAGAGACGGAACGUUUGGUUCUAAAGCACGGUUGCUGUUCAAAGGAGUCUGAAAAUGACUGAAUUUUGGAAUGGGAUCUUCCUUUUGAUCCCAUUAAUGGCUCCUUGAAUGACCCAUCCCUGAGCACUUUCUGGGAUCCCGCACACGAGUGUGGCAUCGAGAUCCCUGGUUCUCAUAAGAAUACCUUCUAGGAUGGCUGGCAGACGACAUCAUUCUGGGAAGCACAGGAAGUGGGCAGGGCAGGCAGCUUUUCCUGUAACUGGCAUCUUGUGAUCCACGGCGGUCCCGGAGUCCUCACUCAUCCUCCUCUAUCCAGCUGUGACCCCGGAAGCUGCUCAUCCAUUUGGCAAAAGACACAUCAUCAUCAUCAUCAUCAUCAUCAUCUUUGUGCUCCAUGUAAAGGCGCUUCAGAAUAUCCAAGGAGAGGAGCAGGGCAGGAAAGAUGGGAACUCUGGGUCUUCUCAUUUCUACCCACUCACAUCGACGUCAUCGCUCUCAUAAUUGGUGCAGAAGGUGAGUCGCAGGGACCCGGUUCAAGCUGUUUCAACUGGAGCCAACCUAGAUUUCCACAAGUCCUGAUUUCUGCCACCCCGCCGUUGCCCUCAAUAACCUCAAAUUCUUCCAAACUAAAAUCUGGCGAUGGUAGAGCUAAGAAGACCGGUGAUAUCGGGCUAUCUUCAGCUUUUGGCUCUUUCCUCCCACAUUUUUAAAAGUCCUUCC